CUAGCUGGCUCUCCCCUUGAACACUAAGCAGAAGGCUGGAACUGAGGGAGGCAGAGAAGAGGGGCAGCAGGCAGGGAGGCUGGGGGAAAGGCAGGGAGAGAUGGAGAGCUGAGGCCGGGAUAGAAACUCCAAGAAUGGGGGGAAUGAAAGGCCUGAGCAGGCUGAGGGGAGAAAGUGGGAAGGUGUGAGGGCUGGUUCGAACCAUAAUAAGGAGAGAAGGGUAAGAAAGAUGGAGGCUGAGAAAAGGCCGCUAUGAGGACAUGCUGGUAGAGAAUUGAUAGGUAAAGAAAGGAUGUAGGAAUAAAAAAAGGCUGAUUGUGGAAAUAGAGAGAAGAUCCAACAAAAACCAAAAAACAACAAGAUUACGUCUCUAGUGAAGAUAUAGCUGAGGGUUGGAAGAACCUUCAAAUAAAAAGAGGAAUUAGGAUCUCAGACCUAGGUCAAAGCUCAGGCUGAAAAAAAAUUAUCAGCUUGAGUCAAAGCCAAGACUAAUGCAGAAAUGCAAACACACGUUUGAAUCUUCAUCACUCUGGACUGCACUUUUCUUUUCCUGCUUUGGAUAUAAGGCUGGCAUGGACUGCAGUGGAUGUCCAAUCAGACAACAGGACCUCUGCUCUUGUCAUAAUGACAACCAUGACAUCACGGCAAGGGCUUGCGGAGAGAAGACAAGCGGAGCUCCAGACAGAGAGCGGGGCUGCACCGCGGCACCACACGCCGACCGAAGGAACCCCGGCGGUCGGAUCCAAACCGCGCGAACUCCCGGGGCUACUGGGGGUGGCAAUACUGGGGUGGGAUUCAGGAUGAGAGCCGACGGACAGGAGCGCUGCCGCCGGACUCACUGCGGCCGCGUCGUCGGCUGAAGAUAUGGAGGAAGUUGAGCGAAAUAGCAUCUUGUUUAAUUUCUGCCAAUCAAGAGGAGAGGAAGACAACUCCAAAAGUGGCAUUAUGCAAUCCGAGAUUAAAGACACACCCAAGAGACAGAGGCAGUGAUUGAGCCAGACAGCAAAAACUGGGCGCUGACAAGUGAGGACUUGUCACCUGGUCAGCUAUAAGGACUUCUGCAAGACGUGAAAGAGGUUUUCUUUAAAGGUGAUGCUGAUGGUGGAACCUCAUCUUGGCUCAAGAAAUAAAGAAGAUGCUGACAUUUCACUCUCCCCAAAACGCACACAAUAAUAACUAAAAUUCUAGCAUUGGGAAGUAAAACCGAUUCCAGCUGAAGAAAACUAGAUCAAAGGGAAUCAAAGUGAACUGGAAUUACUUGGAAAGAAGUAAAAAAGGAGGAUUCAGCUGAGCAGCGACCAUUAAAAAGAUCAGAGAAACAACCUGGAACAGUCUGGCUGAAAACAUGUUGAUUGGAGAAUGCUGUUUUACUAGUGUUCAUUUGAUGUAAAUGAGUAUUUGGUUUACGUAUUUACAUUAAUGUCAAUAUUGAGUUACUGUACAAUAAUAUUGCCUCAUUAUAUGAGCUUUCUUUCAUGUGCAGAGUUAAUAUUUAUCAAACAUUCUAUAUUUGUUUGUGUUUUUCAGAUAUAUUUGAGCUUCCUACUGUUUAAAGAUGUGUAAAUGUUUUAGCUGUGUACCUUCAUUACAAAAUAAGCAGGUAACUGUUGUUUUUGUGUAAAUAUUGUGCAUUAGGAACCUUGUAAAAUUGUAAAAAGUAAAACGUUUUAAAACACUUUUGAUAGCAGGGAUGUGACAUUAAUAAUCAUAAUCAUAUAAUUCAUAUUAUUAAUCUUACAAUUCAUCUCAUUAAGUACAUGGUUCACAAGAUGCAAAAUCCUUUGAAAGAUGAAAAUUACCAGCUUUUUCACAAAUCCCAAACUGUGUUUUAAAUAGUGCUAAACCUACUGGCCGACAGGUGCAAACACGCAGCCAAUGGCUAAACGCGCCAGAAAUGGAGAAACGUGCUGCAAACACAUUAAUGAUGCAAACUCCAAAAAACACAAACACACACAAAAAAUGAAUGCAACAAAAAAGCUGCAAAUGAAAAAUGCUGCAAUCACAGAAAAUAGACAGAAGCAAAAAGAAAAAUGCUGCAAAUACUAAAAACAGCAGCCAGUAAAAAAAAAAAAAAACAAAGCUGCAAACUCACGCCCCAAAACAGAAGUGGACCAGACAAUUAGAAGGAGUCGACCACCAAGUCGUAAUGGACCAGACCCCCAGUAAAGACAUUAAUGGGAUGCCCAGAAGAAACAUGAGGCCACAAUGUUUUACAAUAUUAUAGAACAGCAGCAUAUUUAUGUAGGUAAUAUUAAACGUGCCCCUAGUGGCCCCUAGAUUUUAAAUCUACAGAGGAUCAAAUGCAGAAUCGUUAAAAGCCUGUCAAAUAUUUUAGCUCCAACAGGAAGUUCUGAAGAAGAUUCCAAACUUAGAAGUGUUAGCACUUAAAGGUUGGCAAGGCAGACCUUUCACAGGGCUUUCAAUACAUUGCUUAGCCGACUACGUCAACCCAACAUGGCUCAAGAGCCAAUUCAUUUAAUACUUCAAUAAAAAAUGUCUCGCACAUAGUUACAGGCUGUCAAGCACAAAGCAUCCAUCUUCAUAAUAAAAGCUUAUCCUUAUUUCACAAGACAAAUUCACUUCCUGACAGUGGCUAGCACUACGUAAGUGACUUAAUUUUGACGACAAAUAUGGAGUUUUAUUGUUGCAAGAUCGUGUUACUCCCCUAUCAAUAAAUAUAAAACUGUGUUUUUCUUAGCCAUCCUCUUGGUGGGGUAGCUCUCUGUCUGACUCGCUGUUGAUUAAAGCCUCUACCUUAGGAUUUUGCUUUUGCAUCAUGAGCCAGCAAAAGAAAAAAAUAUAUAUUUAAAAUUAUAGCACAGUUAUUAUAAUUAACAUUUUCCUUUUUCAUGUUUAUGGUUUUUUCAUUUGUCUCUUAUUUUCCAUAGUUUAAAGAAAAAGUUGGGCUUCUGGCACCAUCAUUUCAUAAUGACAAUUUAUUAUUUUUAAGAGUUACAAGUGUAGGUUUGGUUUCCAUUAAGAGAAAAGACUUAUUCAUUAGAAGACAUUUUGUGGUACUAAGAUCAUAUUUCAUUAUAUUUCAGUUAGAUUUCUCUCUGGUUGCGGUUUUCUUUUAGUUCUAAAAUGAAUAAUUAGAUUAUAGAAAAUGAUAAUCACAGAACAAAAUUAUCAUUUAUCUAACAUACAUGUAUUGGCUUGCUGGAAAGAAGUGUAGAGAAAUGCUACAGUUUUCUGACCGCCCUCCUCAUUGUGCCACAGUGCAAGAUAAGCUUGUGUCCACUUGGAUCCUGGCGUGUUUGCCACAUUCCCAGUCAUUGUGGAAUUUUUACAAUAGAUUUUGUGCCACUAGUUUUGUUUAUUCAUCAUUUGAUUGACAGGAAGAAGGGCAGAGAGAGAAGGGGAAUGGCCUGGGACCAAGAAUUGAACCAGGGACAGCUGCGCCGAGGACUCUAGCCUCUAUAUAUGGUGCACCCAAUAACAGAUUUAUUAUUAUUAUUGCUCUGACUGUCGGUAGGGCAAGUCAAGGUUAGUAAUUAUGUAUUUUCUUGUAUACAUUUCCUGACUUUAACAUCGGCCUCACUUGAAUGGUAUGUUCUCCUGUAUUUCCCAUUAUGAAGAGUGGAUAAGAGAAAGGGAACUCUGUGUCACAUAAUAUUUAUGUCCCAGAGAAACAGGGAGUUGUGGACUACUAAACUUGAAAAUGAUCGAUAUGAAUAGAACUGAAAUAAAAUAAAGUAUCUGUUACACUUA